UAACACGUAGGUAACCUGCCCCGGAGCGGGGGAUAACAUUUGGAAACAGAUGCUAAUACCGCAUAACAAUAAAAGCCGCAUGGCUUUUAUUUGAAAGAUGGCUUUGGCUAUCACUCUGGGAUGGACCUGCGGUGCAUUAGCUAGUUGGUAAGGUAACGGCUUACCAAGGCGAUGAUGCAUAGCCGAGUUGAGAGACUGAUCGGCCACAAUGGAACUGAGACACGGUCCAUACUCCUACGGGAGGCAGCAG
rnacentral:rRNA from 1 species